rnacentral:rRNA from 1 species
UACAGAGGUCUCAAGCGUUGUUUCGGAUUCAUUGGGCGUAAAGGGUGUGUAGGUGGCGCCGUAAGUCGGGUGUGAAAUUUCGGAGCUUAACUCCGAAACUGCAUUCGAUACUGCCGUGCUUGAGGACUGGAGAGGAGACUGGAAUUUACGGUGUAGCGGUGAAAUGCGUAGAUAUCGUAAGGAAGACCAGUGGCGAAGGCGGGUCUCUGGACAGUUCCUGACGCUGAGACACGAAGGCCAGGGGAGCAAACGGG